GAUGAACGCUGGCGGCGUGCCUAAUACAUGCAAGUCGAGCGAACAGACGAGGAGCUUGCUCCUCUGACGUUAGCGGCGGACGGGUGAGUAACACGUGGAUAACCUACCUAUAAGACUGGGAUAACUUCGGGAAACCGGAGCUAAUACCGGAUAAUAUAUUGAACCGCAUGGUUCAAUAGUGAAAGACGGUUUUGCUGUCACUUAUAGAUGGAUCCGCGCCGCAUUAGCUAGUUGGUAAGGUAACGGCUUACCAAGGCAACGAUGCGUAGCCGACCUGAGAGAGGGAUCGGCCACACGGGAACUGAGACACGGACCAGGCUCCUACGGGAGGCAGCAGUAGAGAAUCUGCCGCAAUGGGCGAAAGCCUGACGGAACAACCCCGCGUGAGUGAUGAAGGUCUUCGGAUCGUAAAACUCUGUUAUUAGGGAAGAACAAAUGUGUAAGUAACUAUGCACGGCUUGACGGUACCUAAUCAGAAAGCAACGGCUAACUACGUG
rnacentral:rRNA from 1 species